GUGGGGAAUAUUGCACAAUGGGCGGAAGCCUGAUGCAGCGACGCCGCGUGAGGGAUGACGGCCUUCGGGUUGUAAACCUCUUUCAGCAGGGACGAAGCGUGAGUGACGGUACCUGCAGAAGAAGCGCCGGCCAACUACGUGCCAGCAGCCGCGGUAAGACGUAGGGCGCGAGCGUUGUCCGGAUUUAUUGGGCGUAAAGAGCUCGUAGGCGGCUUGUUACGUCGAAUGUGAAAUCUCAGGGCUCAACUCUGACAUUGCAUUCGAUACGGGCAGGCUAGAGUUCGGUAGGGGAGACUGGAAUUCCUGGUGUAGCGGUGAAAUGCGCAGAUAUCAGGAGGAACACCGGUGGCGAAGGCGGGUCUCUGGGCCGAUACUGACGCUGAGGAGCGAAAGCGUGGGGAGCGAACAGG
rnacentral:rRNA from 1 species